rnacentral:rRNA from 1 species
GACGAACGCUGGCGGCGUGCUUAACACAUGCAAGUCGAACGGAAAGGCCCUGCUUUUGUGGUGUUCUCGGAUGGCGAACGGGUGGGUAACACGUGAGUGACCUGCCCUUUACUUUGGGGUGACUUCAGGAAGCUGGGGCUAAUACCGGAUAGUAGCUCCUGCUGCAUGGUGGGGGGUGGAAAGUUUCGUCGGUUGGGUAUGGACUCCCGGCUUAUCAGCUUGCUGGUGGGGGAGUGGCUUACCAAGGGUUUGGCGGGUAGACGGCCUGAGAGGGUGACCGGGGACCAUGGGACUGAGAGACGGACCAGUCUCCUAUGGGAGGCAGCAGGGGGGAAUAUUGCACAACGGGGCGAAGCCUGAUGCAGCAACGUUGCGGUUGGGAUGAAGGUUCUCGGGUGGUAAACCGCGUUAGCUUGUGACGAAGCGUGAGUGACGUUAAUCGGUAAAGAAGCACCGGCUAACUACGUG